rnacentral:lncRNA from 1 species
GUUUUUCUCUCUCCCUUCGGCGAUCUGCAACUCCGGCCACCUGGGGACAAAAACCAAGCACCGGUCGGCUCCUCUACUCCUACCCAACCUCCCUACGGCGACCAUUCAAGGUGUCUUGGCCGGAAAACGACGCAUCGAGCCUGAGAAAUUUACUAUAGCAGUUUGAGUCAACGCCAUUUUCUUCCGAUUUCGGCCACCCCAGACGAUAAAGUUCGGUUCUUUGGAAGCGCCUUGGGAUGUAGAUGCUACCCCCUGAAUCUUGUGCAGCGAUUUGAAGCAUGGAGGAAGAACUGGCGACUGGAAGAUUACGAUCACUAUUCACGAUUCGAGUUCAAGGUUCUUCUUAAUUGUUGAGGUUAUGGUCCGCAGAGUAGCUGGUUCGGCAUACUAGGAUUCGUGGCAUAGCAUCUACAGCAGUCGUUUUCAUAUUGUAGGUUAAUCGUUGAACCUACGUGUAUUAUGAAUUCCUUCUCUCUUUUAAAUUGCUCUGAUAACCUGUGGGACAAUUAUUGUAAAGUUUGGGUUAUGUUGUAUUGUUCGGAUUUUAGUUGUAAAUUGUAAAUUGUGGAGUUGUUGAAUUUUGAGGAGCAGGGUGGCUCCAAGAGAUUAUGGAUGAUUUGUUAGAAGUGUGAUUGUAAUUCUACAGGUUUU